rnacentral:rRNA from 1 species
CCUACGGGAGGCAGCAGUGAGGAAUAUUGGGCAAUGGGCGCAAGCCUGACCCAGCCAUGCCGCGUGAAGGAUGAAUGCCCUAUGGGUUGUAAACUUCUUUUGUACGGGACGAAUCUUCCGGACGUGUCCGGGACUGACAGUACCGUGCGAAUAAGCAUCGGCUAACUCCGUGCCAGCAGCCGCGGUAAUACGGAGGAUGCAAGCGUUAUCCGGAUUCAUUGGGUUUAAAGGGUGCGUAGGCGGGACAAUAAGUCAGUGGUGAAAGCCUGCGGCUUAACCGUAGAAUUGCCAUUGAUACUGCUGUUCUUGAGUACAGUUGAGGUGGGCGGAAUGUGUAACGUAGCGGUGAAAUGCUUAGAUAUUACACAGAACACCGAUUGCGAAGGCAGCUCACUAAGCUGUUACUGACGCUGAGGCACGAAAGCGUGGGGAGCAAACAGGAUUAGAUACCCUGGUAGUCCACGCCGUAAACGAUGAUCACUAGUUGUUGGCGAUAUACCGUCAGCGACUGAGCGAAAGCAUUAAGUGAUCCACCUGGGGAGUACGACGGCAACGUUGAAACUCAAAGGAAUUGACGG